UACGUAGGUGGCAAGCGUUGUUCGGAAUUAUUGGGCGUAAAGGGCGCGUAGGCGGUUUGUUAAGUCAGUUGUGAAAGCCCGGGGCUCAACCCCGGAGGGUCGACUGAUACUGGCGGACUAGAGUACGGAAGAGGUAGCUGGAAUUCCCGGUGUAGCGGUGAAAUGCGUAGAUAUCUGGAGGAACACCGGUGGCGAAGGCGGCAUCCUGGACCAACACUGACGCUGAGGAGCGAAAGCCAGGGGAGCAAACGGG
rnacentral:rRNA from 1 species